CUCACAUUGAGCCCUGAGGAAUGGAGCCUGCCUUCUAUGGACUGAGACCUCUGAAAGGAAGAAAUCCUGAAUGCAUCCAUCCCCUGUCUGUCUGAGGUCUGGCCUGUCCUUCACCUUUUGGAAGACGAAGUUCAUCAUUAUGCUGAUAGAUCAGCACUACGUCCAACUGCAGUAACCUUUAUAACAAUAACAAUAAAAAAGAUGGACCUCC